rnacentral:rRNA from 1 species
UACGUAGGGGGCAAGCGUUUUCCGGAUUUAUUGGGCGUAAAGCGCGCGCAGGCGGUCUCUUAAGUCUGAUGUGAAAGCCCACGGCUCAACCGUGGAAGGUCAUUGGAAACUGGGAGACUUGAGUGUAGGAGAGGAAAGUGGAAUUCCGCGUGUAGCGGUGAAAUGCGUAGAGAUGUGGAGGAACACCAGUGGCGAAGGCGACUUUCUGGCCUAUAAUUGACGCUGAGGCACGAAAGCGUGGGGAGCGAACAGG